rnacentral:rRNA from 1 species
CCAGACUCCUACGGGAGGCAGCAGUGGGGAAUAUUGCACAAUGGGGGAAACCCUGAUGCAGCGACGCCGCGUGAAGGACGAAGUAUUUCGGUACGUAAACUUCUAUCAGCAGGGAAGAAAAUGACGGCACCUGACCAAGAAGCCCCGGCUAACUACGUGCCAGCAGCCGCGGUAAUACGUAGGGGGCAAGCGUUAUCCGGAUUUACUGGGUGUAAAGGGAGCGUAGACGGCCAUGCAAGUCUGAUGUGAAAACCCGGGGCUCAACCCCGGGACUGCAUUGGAAACUGUGCGGCUGGAGUGUCGGAGAGGCAAGUGGAAUUCCUAGUGUGGCGGUGAAAUGCGUAGAUAUUAGGAGGAACACCAGUGGCGAAGGCGGCUUGCUGGACGACGACUGACGUUGAGGCUCGAAAGCGUGGGGAGCAAACAGGAUUAGAUACCCGUGUAAA